rnacentral:ncRNA from 1 species
CAAUAAGCAUCGAACAAGAGAGUACGGGUCAACAUGUGUUAAGAGAGAAAGUUGUUAGGUGAGAAACUUUCGGCUUGUUGACGUGGAAGGUAGCUUGUGAGCUGGAUAUCUGAACCGAGUAAGGUAUCCCGGAUAAAUUCCGUUAACAUGAUUUAAGUGGGGAUAAAACCCAAUUUAGGUGGUACCGCGAGAAACUCGUCCUAUUU